UACGUAGGUGACAAGCGUUGUCCGGAUUUACUGGGCGUAAAGAGCGCGCAGGCGGUCGUUCAAGUCGAGUGUGAAAGCCCCCGGCUCAACUGGGGAGGGUCAUUCGAUACUGAUCGACUCGAAGGCAGGAGAGGGUAGUUGAAUUCCCGGUGUAGUGGUGAAAUGCGCAGAUAUCAGGAGGAACACCGGUGGCGAAGGCGGGUCUCUGGGCCGUAACUGACGCUGAGGAGCGAAAGCGUGGGGAGCGAACAGG
rnacentral:rRNA from 1 species